GCAGCCGCUUCCUGACCGGGGCCCGCCGCCAACUGCCAACCCCAGGCUUCGAGGCCCAAGUCUCGUCAGGAUAACAGGCGGCUGGGCCACGCGACUCGGUUCUCUCAGUUUCCAGUGUGGUGUGGGAGAGGGGUGGGGGGAGAAUGGCGGCCUGCCAUUGGAAAUAAGCCGGACUCUUUCACAUGACAUGGCGACAGGACGGGCAGCUUCAGCUGGAAUGAGCCGGCGAUACUUACACCCAUACCUCAGGGAAGCCAACGGCUUCUCUGAGCUUCAAUCGUGACUAGUCUAGGCCUUGAGUCGGAGAUCAUUGAAAGGUCAGUUAUCUUGGACUCUGUACAUUUUGGUGGCCUUUACUGGUUUAUUGGACCUUCGAAGGGCAUAUUGACUGAAAUCCUUGAUAUCCUGGUAGUGGGGUCACAGACAUACCUCUAAAAAUCUGUGGUUUCACACAUGAGCCUCCAGGAAGGCCCAGACACUGAUGAAACCACAUCCUGAGAGUGUGAUCAACACAGGAAAAAUCGAGGCAUUCAAGAGAGAAUGAGAUUGCUAUCUUAAGAAGAAGUCCAGCAGGUCUGGGGAGUGGAGAAGGUGAAGAAAUGACACAAAAUAAAUUGCUCCUAUGAAAAGCCAACUCAGAUGCAACAGACUGAUUGGCCUCUUUCUGUGCAGUAACAAUGUCGUGAUCAACAAAGACUGCAAAACUCCACAGUGUGACAUUUAUGUUUCCACUUAAUUCAAACUAAAAGCAAUCAUAAUUAAAAUACUACCCUGAAAGUUAAUGAACAUAGAAGAGCAGCAAAGCUUUUUCACUUUAUAAAUACAGUAAGAGACUAUAUAGCUACUUCAGCAACUUAUUGAAAAACAUCAUGCUAUUGAUCAACUGGAAUCUAUAACAGAAACAGGGUAUUUGGCCCAGCUCGUCAUAUGAGUGUUUAUAUUCUACACAAUCCUCAUAUUCCCAGUCCACUUUAUCCCCAUAUAUUCAUAUUGCUUUUUCCUCAUGUAUGCAUUCAGUUGCCUGACAAGUGCAUUCAGGCUAUCUGUUCUAACCACCUCCACAGCCUAGCAUUAACCAGACAUAUUCUGAUGUGCUCAACUUCGAGUCAGAGAGAUUGACAGCAGAAACAGACCCUUUGCUCCAACCCGUCCAAACCGACCAGCUAUCUUAAAUUAAUCUCGUCCCUUUUGCCAGCUGUUGGCCCAUUUCCCUAUAAACCCUUCUUAUUCAUGUACUCAUCCAAGUGCCUUUUAAAUAUUGUAAUUGCA